AGACCAUGAUGGGGACGUCUUCGUUGUAAUUCCGCGAUAACGCUCCCAAGUUUCGUACAAUGUCUCUCCUUCCUGUUGAGAGAAACUAGUUAUAUCCAUACGAAAUUU